rnacentral:rRNA from 1 species
GACAGAGGGUGCAAACGUUGCUCGGAAUUACUGGGCGUAAAGCGCGUGUAGGCGGACCGAUAAGUCAGGCGUGAAAUCCCCGAGCUCAACUCGGGAACUGCACCUGAAACUGCCGGUCUAGAGUGAUGGAGAGGGUAGCGGAAUUCCUGGUGUAGAAGUGAAAGUCGUAGAUAUCAGGAGGAACACCGGUGGCGAAGGCGACUACCUGGACAUUAACUGACGCUGAGACGCGAAAGCGUGGGGAGCAAACAGG